GACGAACGCUGGCGGCGUGCUUAACACAUGCAAGUCGAACGGAAAGGCCCCUUUGGGGGUACUCGAGUGGCGAACGGGUGAGUAACACGUGAGUAACCUGCCCUUGACUUCGGGAUAACUUCAGGAAACUGGGGCUAAUACCGGAUAGGAAUCCUUGCUGCAUGGUGGGGGUUGGAAAGCUUCGGCGGUUUUGGAUGGACUCGCGGCUUAUCAGCUUGUUGGUGGGGUAGUGGCUUACCAAGGCUUUGACGGGUAGCCGGCCUGAGAGGGCGACCGGCCACAUUGGGACUGAGAUACGGCCCAGACUCCGACGGGAGGCAGCAGUGGGGAAGAUUGCACAAUGGGCGGAAGCCUGAUGCAGCAACGCCGCGUGCGGGAGGACGGCCUUCGGGUUGUAAACCGCUUUCAGCAGGGGCGAAGCUUGUGGUGACGGUACCUGCAGAAGAAGCACCGGCUAACUACGUG
rnacentral:rRNA from 1 species